GACGUAGGGGCCGAGCGUUGUCCGGAAUUACUGGGCGUAAAGCGCGCGCAGGCGGAUUGUCGCAUCAUCGGUGAAAGCCCCCCGCUCAACGGGGGAGGGUCCGGUGCGAUGGGCAGUCUGGAGGCAGGGAGAGGCGAGUGGAAUUCCGGGAGUAGUGGUGAAAUGCGUAGAGAUCCGGAGGAACACCAGUGGCGAAGGCGGCUCGCUGGACCUGACCUGACGCUGAGGCGCGAAGGCGUGGGGAGCGAACGGG
rnacentral:rRNA from 1 species